GCUGGGCGUGGUGGCGCAUGCCUGUAAUCCCAGCUACUCAGGAGGCUGAGGCAGGAGAAUCGCUUGAACCCGGGAGGUAGAGGUUGCAGUGAGCCAAGAUCACGCACUGCACUCCAGCCUGGGUGACAGAGUAAGACUCUGUCUCUA
rnacentral:sRNA from 1 species